UACGAGGGGGCAAGCGUUGUUCGGAAUUAUUGGGCGUAAAGGGUGCGUAGGUGGUUCGGCAAGUCUUGUGUGAAAUCUUCAGGCUCAACUUGAAGUCUGCACAAGAAACUGCCGGCUUGAGUUCGGGAGAGGUGAGUGGAACUGCGAGCGUAGAGGUGAAAUUCGUAGAUAUUCGACAAGAACACCAGUGGCGAAGGCGGCUCACUGGCCCGAUACUGACGACUGAGGCA
rnacentral:rRNA from 1 species